CUAUACUCAGAGUAGUUCCAAGAAACGUGAUAACCACUGGAAACCAAGUGACAUUCUUCUGUCAAGGGCCCUUAGAGGCCAAGGAAUACCGUCUCUGCAAAGAAGGAAGUCGGAUUGCUUGUACCAACAACCCUUAUAGAAACUGAGAACUUGGCCAAAUUCUCUAUCUCAUCAAUUGAAUGGAACAAUGGAGGCCAAUAUAGGUGUGAAUAUAAGAGCCCCAAUGGUGCAUUAGAACACAGUGACUACUUGGAGCUUGUGGUGACAGGAGUUUACCAGAGCAGUGUCACCCUGUCAGCCCUUCCCAGCCCAGUGGUGACUGUAGGAGAAAAUGUGACCCUUCAAUGUGUGUCACAACAUCCAUAUGACAGGUUAAUUCUGAUGAAGGAGGAUGAGAAGUUCUCCCUGGCUUUGUCCUCACAGAAUACACACCCUGACCUAUUUGGAGCCAUGUUCACAGUGGGUCCUGUGACCCCCAACCAGAGGUGGAGGUUCACAUGCUAUGGGUAUUACUCCAGCAACUCCCAGCUGUGGUCGGUUCCCAGUCCCGAAUUAGAGCUUCUGGUCUCAGGGACCCUCCAGAAACCCACCAUUUGGGCUGAGCCGGACUCUGUGAUCACCUCAGGGAAUCCUGUGACUAUCUGGUGUGAGGGAAUUAAGGAAACUCAAAUGUA